rnacentral:rRNA from 1 species
GAUCCUGGCCCAGGAUGAACGCUAGCGGCAGGCCUAACACAUGCAAGUCGAGGGGCAUCGGGAUUGAAGCUUGCUUCAAUUGCCGGCGACCGGCGCACGGGUGCGUAACGCGUAUGUAACCUACCUAUGACAGGGGCAUAACACUGAGAAAUUGGUACUAAUUCCCCAUAAUAUUCGGAGAGGCAUCUCUCCGGGUUGAAAACUCCGGUGGUUAUAGAUGGACAUGCGUUGUAUUAGCUAGUUGG